rnacentral:rRNA from 1 species
UACCAGACUCCUACGGGAGGCAGCAGUGGGGAAUAUUGCACAAUGGGGGAAACCCUGAUGCAGCGACGCCGCGUGAGCGAUGAAGUAUUUCGGUAUGUAAAGCUCUAUCAGCAGGGAAGAAAAUGACGGUACCUGACUAAGAAGCCCCGGCUAACUACGUGCCAGCAGCCGCGGUAAUACGUAGGGGGCAAGCGUUAUCCGGAUUUACUGGGUGUAAAGGGAGCGUAGACGGUCCUGCAAGCCAGAUGUGAAAGCCCGGGGCUCAACCCCGGGACUGCAUUUGGAACUGUAAGGCUAGAGUGUCGGAGAGGCAGGCGGAAUUCCUAGUGUAGCGGUGAAAUGCGUAGAUAUUAGGAGGAACACCAGUGGCGAAGGCGGCUUACUGGACGGCAACUGACGCUGAGGCUCGAAAGCGUGGGGAGCAAACAGGAUUAGAUACCCCAGUAG